ACUGGUUUGCAGUCUAGUGCAUGCAAUAUGAAGUCAUGACUAGACUGAUAACCAGCUC
rnacentral:pre_miRNA from 1 species